UACGGAGGCUCCAAGCGUUAUCCGGAAUCAUUGGGUUUAAAGGGUCCGUAGGCGGUCUUAUAAGUCAGUGGUGAAAUCUCCCCGCUCAACGGGGAAACGGCCAUUGAUACUGUAGGACUUGAAUUAUUAGGAAGUAACUAGAAUAUGUAGUGUAGCGGUGAAAUGCUUAGAGAUUACAUGGAAUACCAAUUGCGAAGGCAGGUUACUACUAAUGGAUUGACGCUGAUGGACGAAAGCGUGGGUAGCGAACAGG
rnacentral:rRNA from 1 species